CCCCAUUCGAGGCUGUCCCAAGACGGCCGGACCUGAGCAGGCACGUAAGGCAAUUCUCAUCCACGCAAGUUGCACUCCACGGACGAGUCGGUCAGGUAGCCUUGUGUGUCAAUCCUAG